AUUGAACGCUGGCGGCAGGCCUAACACAUGCAAGUCGAACGGUAACAGGGAUCAGCUUGCUGAUUCGCUGACGAGUGGCGGACGGGUGGGUAAUGUCUGGGAAACUGCCUGAUGGAGGGGGAUAACUACUGGAAACGGUAGCUAAUACCGCAUAACGUCGCAAGACCAAAGAGGGGGACCUUCGGGCCUCUUGCCAUCGGAUGUGCCCAGAUGGGAUUAGCUAGUAGGUGGGGUAACGGCUCACCUAGGCGACGAUCCCUAGCUGGUCUGAGAGGAUGACCAGCCACACUGGAACUGAGACACGGUCCAGACCCCUACGGGAGGCAGCAGUGGGGAAUAUUGCACAAUGGGCGCAAGCCUGAUGCAGCCAUGCCGCGUGUAUGAAGAAGGCCUUCGGGUUGUAAAGUACUUUCAGCGGGGAGGAAGGGAGUAAAGUUAAUACCUUUGCUCAUUGACGUUACCCGCAGAAGAAGCACCGGCUAACUCCGUG
rnacentral:rRNA from 1 species